GACUAGGAAACCUCAGAGGCCACUGCGACUACCAUACUCUAUGAGUUUGGCUAUGAAGGGUGUCGGGUCAGAUCAACUACCCACGAUGAGCGAGAUGAAUUUUCCUUUAAUUGGUGGUAGAGGGGGGGUUCUUAAGAAUUUGAGCAACGAGUUUCCCUCAGUCCCAGGAAAAGGUCGUGGAAACUCACUUGGCUUUUAGCUCAUCCUUUCAAAGAAAUCCAAAGAGUAACCAAAAUCUGCCCUACAAGCGAUAUGCGCAAAAAUUGGCUACUAAGAUUGAAAAGUAACUAUUUAAUACAAUUGACAACGUAUAGAUAGAUUCCUCCGAAAAAUUAUGAUUACAUAUCGUUUACUUUAUGCUUUAGU
rnacentral:misc_RNA from 1 species